rnacentral:tRNA from 2 species
CGCGGGGUAGAGCAGUCUGGUAGCUCGUUGGGCUCAUAACCCAAAGGUCGCUGGUUCAAAUCCAGCCCCCGCAACCA